CAGCCGCCACGGUAAAACGGAGGGGGCUAGCGUUGUUCGGAAUUACUGGGCGUAAAGCGUACGUAGGCGGCUUUGUAAGUUAGAGGUGAAAGCCUGAUGCUCAACAUCAGAAUUGCCUUUAAGACUGCAUCGCUUGAACGUCGGAGAGGUGAGUGGAAUUCCGAGUGUAGAGGUGAAAUUCGUAGAUAUUCGGAAGAACACCAGUGGCGAAGGCGGCUCACUGGACGACUGUUGACGCUGAGGUACGAAAGCGUGGGGAGCAAACAGGAUUAGAUACCCGCGUAGUCCCUGUCUCUUAUAC
rnacentral:rRNA from 1 species